GGCACAGUGGCCUAAUAGAUAAGGCAUCAGCCUCUGCAGCUGGGGAUUAUGAGUUCAAAUCCCACCUGGGUUG
rnacentral:tRNA from 1 species